GAUAUACAGUAAACCAUAGAGAAGGCAGGCACUAUACAAGAUUAAGCAGGGACAAGUCCAGAUGCCAUAUAUAGACAAAAUAUGUGUACGGUGUCCAUUUUAGGACAUCGUCAGCCUCAAGCCUCACACCUCAUCUGUCUGAGGUAGAGUUGAGGGUGUAGACUUUCACACGCGGGUCACAUGAUAUACAGUUUUCUUUGGGUUUAUAAUAUUGAUAUGAAUUGUAGCACCGGCACAGUCAUGGUGAGCGGCAUCAAUCCUUUGUCUGAUAGUUGUUGUAUGCAGAGGUGUAAUUGUUUGAGACACACGUGGGGAACGUUUGCUCUAGGAAAGAGACAUAAAUGAAAGUGUUGGUUUGCCUAAAAUAGUCCGAAUUAAGACAGAAUGGAGGAAAGAAAGUCAAGAUCUCAUUGAGAACUACACGUUUGUAUUUUGGGAGGGCCACACCCUCUGUGAAACCCUAUAGAAACACAGUUGUUCAU